CUAAUCAGAAAGAAACUCAGACAGGCACAUCAAUCUUACCCACACACACCACUAUACAACAACACAAAACAGACACCACAGGGAGCAUUUCUAAUCAGAAAGAAACUCAGACAAGCACAUCAAUCUUACCCACAAGCACCACUAUACAACAACAAAACACAGACACUGCAGGGAGCAUUUCUAAUCAGAAAGAAACUCAGACAAGCAUGUCAAUCUUACCCACACGCACCACUAUACAACAACAAAACACAGACACCACAGGGAGCAUUUCUAAUCAGAAAGAAACUCAGACAGGCACAUCAAUCUUACCCACACACACCACUAUACAACAACACAAAACA